rnacentral:rRNA from 1 species
AGUGAACGCUGGCGGUAGGCCUAACACAUGCAAGUCGAACGGCAGCACAGUAAGAGCUUGCUCUUACGGGUGGCGAGUGGCGGACGGGUGAGGAAUACAUCGGAAUCUACUUUUUCGUGGGGGAUAACGUAGGGAAACUUACGCUAAUACCGCAUACGACCUACGGGUGAAAGCAGGGGAUCUUCGGACCUUGCGCGAUUGAAUGAGCCGAUGUCGGAUUAGCUAGUUGGCGGGGUAAAGGCCCACCAAGGCGACGAUCCGUAGCUGGUCUGAGAGGAUGAUCAGCCACACUGGAACUGAGACACGGUCCAGACUCCUACGGGAGGCAGCAGUGGGGAAUGUUGGACAAUGGGCGCAAGCCUGAUGCAGCCAUACCGCGUGGGUGAAGAAGGCCUUCGGGUUGUAAAGCCCUGUUGUUGGGAAAGAAAAGCAGCAGGUUAAUACCCCGCUGUUCUGACGGUACCCAAAGAAUAAGCACCGGCUAACUUCGUG